AGCUCUAAUAGCGUAUAUUAAAGUUGUUGCGGUUAAAACGCUCGUAGUUGGAUUUUAUGUUGGUGUUUGCGAUUGGUCCGCGGCAUUGUCGUGUGUACUUUUCGCCCCAGCAUCCAUGGUGGUCAACUUGCCGGGGCCUUCACUGGUCUCGGAUUGAAGUUCCAUCGCAUUUACUUUGAGUAAAUUAGAGUGUUCAAAGCAGGUAAAUCUUUCAACCGUUGAAUACUGCAGCAUGGGAUAAUGGAAUAGGACUUUGGUUCUAUUUUGUUGGUUUCUAGAGCCGAAGUAAUGAUUAAUAGGGACAGUUGGGGGCAUUCGUAUUUAAUUGUCAGAGGUGAAAUUCUUGGAUUUGUUAAAGACGAACUACUGCGAAAGCAUUUGCCAAGGAUGUUUUCAUUAA
rnacentral:rRNA from 1 species